ensembl:misc_RNA 7SK 7SK RNA
GGACGCAUGGACAGUCUGGCUGUGACUGCUGUUCUCCCAUCAACAGCCGGGGUACAGCAACCUGGUCUGACUUGCUAGGCAGGUGUCCUUCUUCCCCAGCUUCUCCAGGAUUCUCCCAAACCUGUGUCACUGGAUGGAGUGGAUGGCCUUUCUAGGAGGAGGAAAGCCUUCUUGCAUUCACAGGUCUACAUUAGCUGCAUUUGUCUGUUAGAUCCUUUGAUCAAACUCACUCCAGAUAUUGAAAGUCUUUAUAUACAAAAUCCUGGUCUGUGACCUGAGAGAAGGGAGAUGCCCUUGAGUUCUU